GGUUAGUAGGUUGGUCAUGCCUCUGGUAUGUACUGGUCUCACUGAUUCCUCCCUCUUGACGAACUGUAAUGUCAUUAAUUUGGUGUUGCAGGAAAUCAGGACUGUUACUUUGAAAAAAUUAGAGUGUUUAAAGCAGGCUAAGGCUUGAAUACAUUAGCAUGGAAUAAUGAAAUAGGACGUUUGAUCCUAUUUUGUUGGUUUCUAGGAUUGACGUA
rnacentral:rRNA from 1 species